GGCGACCCGGUGAAACCGAUCAGUAGUAUCCCACUCGUAUCUAUACCGCGUUCGUAAAUACGAUUAGACAUCCACAGCGCUAUACGAUUAUCUUGCUUCUUCUCUCUCUUUGUGUGUACCACCUGAGGGGCCACAUCAUUUUGCAAACAUAGUCUCUCAUCGUCCGUCGCAAGCGAGUGGCCGAACCAACGCACGAUAUACGGCGACACGGCGGGGUGAGAGCCAAUGACUCGCAAGGGUGAUAUGUCGGCGAGUAUAGCGCUAAGCAGGCUGCGUAAGCGAACGGGCAGCAUUUUCAAGACAUCGCAAUGCGCGCAUUUCAAUUGAUUGCGCCCCACGGCAGAUGACAGCGCUCGACCGGUUGUGACCCGAGUGACGCACAUAACCGUCCGUGCCCGCUGCACGUCCGACGUACAUACGUUCACAGAACACAUACACGUUCUGAAACAAAUACAUAUCGUGUGCCUUCUCCGCGCCUCCCACACAAAAUUGUUUUGAAACUGGCGCCCCGCAGGCUAGUUAGGCUUUGACUUGAACUAAACGCAGAGAUGAGAACAAAACACGAGGUCAAUUGAUAAAUGUUUAUUGCGCGCAUACCUUCUAAUAUGCGGUGGCUAGAAAGUUUUAAAGACAGGCCAUUGAAACAGACGCAUGUAAGCAAGAUUUUUUUUUUUUUUUUGCGUGGGUGACAUAUGCAAGCCAAAGCAAUCCAGCUUGUAGCGACUUGCCAUCCUGAGACCGAGGCCCACAACCUGCAGCGACGCUGAAGCAUAGGUGUUCUGUUGGUGAAGUGUCUUUCGUAGACCAUCGGGAGUUUUUACGUGUGGAAGACACAUGUGCCGCCAGCACAAAGGAAUGGCCAGCGCAGAUCGCCUUGGCUGUAGGCACUGCAGUGCAUGCUGGUGUGUGGAAGUGCUGCAGCCAACCUGACGCAACAGCGGCUUCCCCGUGUUUGUGCACAGAGGACAGAACCUAUGACUUGGCCCAAGGGUUCUUCAUCAAUCUACCACUGACUUGAUGUCAACUAAGCGCCCGGUUCUUCCCACCUUCCUUCUGCAACGCAGAAUACCUUGAUCGACUGACUUUGGAGGAGCACAGCACAGCAAACUGGCAUGUUUAACCACUGUCACAACUCUGGCUACAUCAGUUUUCCUGUAUAAUAAGAUGGUGCAGCGCCAAGGUUGGGACAGUUGGCAUCAAAGGAUCCAUUUGCCAUUGUAUAUCCCAAGGGCCUAAGCGGGCAGCGGAGAGCCUCCUGUCACGACAACUGAAGAAGGCACCUGCAUCUCUGUCACCCUCCACCGUCUCGAUUGCCGCUUAGGCUUCUCACCCUUGUCCUCCUGUGACGCAAAGGCAGGUCGCACAGGAAAACGGCGCUUCUCACCACGAGGAAUGUAAUGCGUUCGGACGAUUACGUGGUCGGAUUAUAUAGCAGCUGGAACAAGUGCUCCAGAGGCGAAGCAUCUACAAGACAAGACAACAUGGCUUUCCGUGCCGUAGCAUCUGACCUUCCAGCAGUACAAGCAUGCUGCUUUAAGACUGGUACAUUUUCCUCUGUUAUAGGCUGCCUUCUAGCCUGUACCAAAGCGACAUAAUAAACGCCCAUUA